AACGAACGCUGGCGGCAUGCCUAACACAUGCAAGUCGAACGAGACCUUCGGGUCUAGUGGCGCACGGGUGCGUAACGCGUGGGAACCUGCCCUUAGGUUCGGAAUAACUCCCCGAAAGGGGUGCUAAUACCGGAUAAUGUCUUCGGACCAAAGAUUUAUCGCCUUUGGAUGGGCCCGCGUUGGAUUAGCUAGUUGGUAGGGUAAAAGCCUACCAAGGCGACGAUCCAUAGCUGGUCUGAGAGGAUGAUCAGCCACACUGGGACUGAGACACGGCCCAGACUCCCACGGGGAGGAAGAAGUGGGAAUAUUGGACAAUGGGCGAAAGCCUGAUCCAGCAAUGCCGCGUGAGUGAUGAAGGCCUUAGGGUUGUAAAGCUCUUUUACCCGGGAUGAUAAUGACAGUACCGGGAGAAUAAGCUCCGGCUAACUCCGUG
rnacentral:rRNA from 1 species